GCACUACUUGUAGGGGUUGUUGCGGUUUGCAUGGAUACAACGUUCAAGACGGAGGAGCCGGAUGCCAAGCCAGACACAGGCCCCGCGGAUGCACGAUUGCUUCAGAGAAGACCAAAUUUCGAAGACUGAUACUAAAAACAUCAUCUUGUUAGAAAGGUGGCAGAUAUUCACUGCAAAAGAUUCAAAAGGAUAAAGAAAAAUAAAGAGAAAACAAGUCAACCAUAACCCAACCACACUUUUAAGAUUUUGAUGUAAAUCUUUCCACAACUCUUUCUGAAUAUAUUUUUAAAACAAUGUCCAAACCAAAAUGGGAUCACGCUUUACAUACUACUUUGUAACCUGCUAUUUUAACUCAGUGACGUGUCAAGGACACCUUUCCAUGUCUAUAUCAAUCUGUAUUAUUAUGUAGGACUUCAUACUUGCCCUUAUAUGCAUGUCCUAUGAUUAUUUUAAGCAAGCCCCCGCUCUUUACUGACAAACUUUCGGCUGUUUCCUAUUUUUGAUCACUCUAAAGAGUACUGAAAUAAAGU